AUUGAACGCUGGCGGCAGGCCUAACACAUGCAAGUCGAGCGGUAGAGAGAAGCUUGCUUCUCUUGAGAGCGGCGGACGGGUGAGUAAUACCUAGGAAUCUGCCUGGUAGUGGGGGAUAACGUUCGGAAACGGACGCUAAUACCGCAUACGUCCUACGGGAGAAAGCAGGGGACCUUCGGGCCUUGCGCUAUCAGAUGAGCCUAGGUCGGAUUAGCUAGUUGGUGAGGUAAUGGCUCACCAAGGCUACGAUCCGUAACUGGUCUGAGAGGAUGAUCAGUCACACUGGAACUGAGACACGGUCCAGACUCCUACGGGAGGCAGCAGUGGGGAAUAUUGGACAAUGGGCGAAAGCCUGAUCCAGCCAUGCCGCGUGUGUGAAGAAGGUCUUCGGAUUGUAAAGCACUUUAAGUUGGGAGGAAGGGCCAUUACCUAAUACGUGAUGGUUUUGACGUUACCGACAGAAUAAGCACCGGCUAACUCUGUGC
rnacentral:rRNA from 1 species